rnacentral:rRNA from 1 species
GACGAACGCUGGCGGCGUGCUUAACGCAUGCAAGUCGAACGGAAAGGCCCUGCUUUUGUGGGGUGCUCGAGUGGCGAACGGGUGAGUAACACGUGAGUAACCUGCCCUUGACUUUGGGAUAACUUCAGGAAACUGGGGCUAAUACCGGAUAGGAGCUCCUGCUGCAUGGUGGGGGUUGGAAAGUUUCGGCGGUUGGGGAUGGACUCGCGGCUUAUCAGCUUGUUGGUGGGGUAGUGGCUUACCAAGGCUUUGACGGGUAGCCGGCCUGAGAGGGUGACCGGCCACAUUGGGACUGAGAUACGGCCCAGACUCCUACGGGAGGCAGCAGUGGGGAAUAUUGCACAAUGGGCGGAAGCCUGAUGCAGCAACGCCGCGUGCGGGAUGACGGCCUUCGGGUUGUAAACCGCUUUCGCCUGUGACGAAGCGUGAGUGACGGUAAUGGGUAAAGAAGCACCGGCUAACUACGUGCCAGCAGCCGCGGUGAUACGUAGGGUGCGAGCGUUGUCCGGAUUUAUUGGGCGUAAAGGGCUCGUAGGUGGUUGAUCGCGUCGGAAGUGUAAUCUUGGGGCUUAACCCUGAGCGUGCUUUCGAUACGGGUUGACUUGAGGAAGGUAGGGGAGAAUGGAAUUCCUGGUGGAGCGGUGGAAUGCGCAGAUAUCAGGAGGAACACCAGUGGCGAAGGCGGUUCUCUGGGCCUUUCCUGACGCUGAGGAGCGAAAGCGUGGGGAGCGAACAGGCUUAGAUACCCUGGUAGUCCACGCUGUAAACGGUGGGUACUAGGUGUGGGGUCCAUUCCACGGGUUCCGUGCCGUAGCUAACGCUUUAAGUACCCCGCCUGGGGAGUACGGCCGCAAGGCUAAAACUCAAAGGGAUUGACGGGGCCCCGCACAAGCGGCGGAGCAUGCGGAUUAAUUCGAUGCAACGCGUAGAACCUUACCUGGGUUUGACAUGGAUCGGGAGUGCUCAGAGAUGGGUGUGCCUCUUUUGGGGUCGGUUCACAGGUGGUGCAUGGCUGUCGUCAGCUCGUGUCGUGAGAUGUUGGGUUAAGUCCCGCAACGAGCGCAACCCUUGUUCACUGUUGCCAGCACGUUAUGGUGGGGACUCAGUGGAGACCGCCGGGGUCAACUCGGAGGAGGGUGGGGAUGACGUCAAGUCAUCAUGCCCCUUAUGUCCAGGGCUUCACGCAUGCUACAAUGGCUGGUACAGAGAGUGGCGAGCCUGUGAGGGUGAGCGAAUCUCGGAAAGCCGGUCUCAGUUCGGAUUGGGGUCUGCAACUCGACCUCAUGAAGUCGGAGUCGCUAGUAAUCGCAGAUCAGCAACGCUGCGGUGAAUACGUUCCCGGGGCU